CACGUAGGGGGCAAGCGUUGUCCGGAUUUAUUGGGCGUAAAGAGCUCGUAGGCGGUUCGGUAAGUCGGGUGUGAAACCUCCAGGCUCAACCUGGAGACGCCACCCGAUACUGCUGUGACUAGAGUCCGGUAGGGGAGCGUGGAAUUCCUGGUGUAGCGGUGAAAUGCGCAGAUAUCAGGAGGAACACCGGUGCGAAGGCGGGUCUCUGGGCAACAACUGACGCUGAGGAGCGAAAGCGUGGGGAGCGAACAGG
rnacentral:rRNA from 1 species